rnacentral:rRNA from 1 species
UACGGAGGGGGCGAGCGUUAUGCGGAAUUAUUGGGCGUAAAGGGCGCGUAGGCGGCCCGGUAAGUCAAAGGUGAAAUCCCUCGGCUUAACCGAGGAACUGCCUGUCAAACUGCAUGGCUUGAGACCGGGAGAGGUGAGUGGAAUUCCCAGUGUAGCGGUGAAAUGCGUAGAUAUUGGGAGGAACACCAGUGGCGAAGGCGGCUCACUGGACCGGUACUGACGCUGAUGCGCGAAAGCGUGGGGAGCAAACAGG